GAGAAUGCUUAAACAGAAGUUGUGGUGCUAAACACCCUCCCCUCCCCCAGUUUGCAAUAUCUGAAAAUGCUCAAGGAAGAUUAUCAUACAGAAAGUUCUGUUUUCUUUAUUCUUAAUACAUCUAAAUAGCCUGUCUCCUCUUUCUGUUCCAGGUAUGAGCACCAGUGACCCAAGGAAUUCCAUGUCACCCACCAUUCAUAGACACAGGAAGAGUAGGCAACAUGCUCUCCCCACUGACCCCACCAUGAGAGAAUCUGGGGAAGGUCUAAAAUGAACAGAGUCAAGCUUCAGAAGGAAAUGGAUGGCUUUCUCAACGUCAAAGGGUUCACAUCACUUGAAUCAUGGAGAGCUGAGAAAGGACCUGGAUCAGAGACCACUUCACUUCAUUGAACUAAGCAUCCCAAUGGUAGACAACUCGUGUUCCCCCUUCUGAUCAACCCUGAGAACAAUGCCAACCAUUUCCUGUAAUGAAAGCAACUAAAAAUAUUUUUUGAUGAUGGAGAUGGUGAAAGUUGAGCAACACAGAGCAGAAUACGGAAAUGAUACCAAGAGGCACCCAGCCAACGAAUUGAGCAUCCCACCUGGCUUUCAUCUCCCAGAACUGCCCAAAGACUCAAUAUCUUGUUUUUCCUAUUCCUGGAACCUGCACCACGUCUUUCUUUGUACACUCACUCCAUCUAGUAGAGAAAAAAAAUUUAGUCAGCCAUGACUAAUGGCAAAUGAUUGUAUCAAAUUGUUGCCAGCAAUUUAAGCAGCAAAAUAGCAUAACUUUCUCUUCUUCAUGAGCCUCGGAGGAGCUCCAAUGACUCAAGGAGUGCUUCACAUUUUGUACACUCAACAAUCUCUUUCAUAUUUAUGAUCAAAUUGAUACUAAUGUUAUGAUCAGAUAUAUUCCAUAACACUAUCAAUGAGAAUUGUGACUGUCCUAUUAAACCAAACUAUGCAUUAAUGUAUUUUAACUCCCAACUCCAUGAUGUAGGACACAGUCACUGUCCCCCAACCCCCUCUUACAUUGAAGAAACUGAGGCACAGAGAGAAGGAAUGAUCUGAGAUCAUGUCACCAACCAAUAAUGGUCUUUUAUCACCCAAGGCCCUGCUUGUCUGAUGCCGUGGUUUUCAACCCUCUCUCAUUUCAGGGUAUGGCCCAUCUUCAAAGGAGGCCUCAGCCCUGCUAUAAGGAACCCUCUUUUUUUCUUUGCAAAUAAAUUUUUCCUCUUUGCCUGCCUGGAAAAGGUGGCUCGGCAGCCAACUCAGUGAGCAGUUCUGUGACUUAGGAACAAAUAUGUAGCAGAGUUGAGUCUCUCCAGAUGUUGAGCUAAAUAAGGCACAAGAGGAUCGCCUAGAUCUAGAUGACUCUUAAAGCCAAACUGGGAGUGGAGGGAACACCAGAACACUCAAGAGGAUAAACGUUCUUAUUCAAGAGUCCCCACCAUGUGCCAGAAACCCCACAGAAGGCAGGUGUCAGGAUAAAGAGCCAGCCCACUAUGUGAUUAAACAUGACCAUUUUCUGCCUUUCUCUGCCCCACCCUGUAGGAAUACUAUCUACCCCUGAACUGUUGAACUCAAGGGUGACUAUUCAACCAUGCUGGCUGAUACAAUGUUGACAGAGUUGACACAUACCUUCCAGUUCGUGAUCUGCCACCCCAGAUUGGCAAUAUUUCUAAGACAGGCUGCCCAGGAUCCCAAAGAUCUAAAGAAGUCAAGCUGAGAAAGCGUGAUGUGUGAGCUGCUGUUUUCAGAUUGCUGUUAUAGCAACCUGACAAAGCCUUGUUUCACAGGGAAGCCUGAAGGACAUCCCAGAGCUGGUACUUGGUAGAGCCAGAAUGGUUCCCCACUAACAUUAAUGCAUGCUUCACAAGGUCACAGCUAGGCAAGUGCUAUGCAUGUAUCCUCUCCAUUGUCACAGAAAGUCUGUGUCAUUUAUAUAAAGUUCUUACUCAAAUUUUGAAUGAAAGUAUGGCACAACCUGUCUUCUGUUGCUUGAAAAAAAAAAUACCUGAAAUCAGUUCAUCUGAAAGAGCUUAUUUGGUUUAUGGCUCCAGAGACAGGAAAGCCUGUGAGCAUGGUGCUGCCAUGUGCCUGGUACCUGGUAAGGGCUUCUUACUGCAUCUUAACCUAGUACAGGGUGUCACACGGCCAAGCAGAGCAAGCAUUUCCUGCCCAUUUAUAUUCCUCUCUCUAUAAUCCACUAAUGCUAUAUUGGGCCCCACCUUCAUGUCCCCCCUUAAUCCUAAUUACCUCCUAAAUGCCUCACCUCCAGACUCCAUUAACACAUGAUUUUGGAGAUUAACUUUUGGAGGGUACAAUCAAACUGUAAGGACAUUUUAGCUCACACAGCUGAUAAGGAAGAUACAAGUGAAACUGACCAGAUGGCUUGCUAUCACUUGCUUAAGCUCUUGAUAACUAAGUUCAUGCUGUAUCCUUCUUCAAUUGAUGGAGUUGAGAAAGUGAAUGGAUGAAGUGAGUUUGCUAACCAGGAUGGGCCCAGGAGAUGGUACACUCAUGCUUUGAAAGUUACAAGAGGGGCUGGAGAGAUGGCUGAGAGGUUAAGAGCACUGACUGCUCUUCCAGAGGUCCUGAAUUCAAUUCCCAGCAACCACGUGGUGGAUCACAACCAUCUGUUAUGAUACCUGGUGCUCUCUUCUGGUGUGCAGACAUACAUGGAAGCAGAAUGUUGUAUACGUAAUAAAUAAAUAAAAUCUUUAAAAAAAGAAAAGAAAGUCACAAGAAAGAUGUCCUCUGUCCCAAGUGAUGACCAAUCAUAUGUCACUUUGUGUGUGAACCAAAGAGGUAGGAGGGACCAGAGCUCUCCCAUUGCUCUCUUAGCCCUGCUCACCUCCUUCCUCAGCACAGAGCUCCUGCAAAGCUGUUGACUCAUAGUCUCCACAGCCUCUCAUGUCAGUGCAUAACUGGAAAUACAAUGUGGGUAGUACCCACAGGAACUUGGAGGCAAGAGGGAAUAGAAUCUUUCAAAUGAAGACCUUUCAAGAUGGUGAACUCAGAUUACUAGAACCCAUGACAGGGAGGGAGGAACCUGACAAUGGCAGCAUGCACUUGUGAUUCCAGAGGUGGAGGAGGAGACAGCAGGCAGGAAGUAGAGACAAGCAGAUGAUCCGUGGGGCUUUCUAGCCAUUAGACUAGACUAAUCAGCAAGUUCUAAGUAAAAACUGAGAGACCCUAUUACAAAAAGCCAAAGUGGAGAUCAGCUAAGAAAGACAUAAGACAUUGGCCUCUGGUUUCCACAUGCAUACUCAAGUACAUGUACACACACACACACAAAAAAAAAAAACCUGCAUAGAUGCAUAAAAAUAAAUGAAUGAAUAAAGGAAAAAGGAUGGAAGGCAGGCUCUCAUGCUCGCAUGACAAGCACUUCAUCAGCUAAAUCCUAUCUGUAGCACUCCAAUCCUUUUAACACAUGGACCUUUGGGGGACCAUUGUCCAUUCUAUAGCAAUAGAGGCAGGAAGCUUAACCUGUGGGCUGCAGUUCCUGAACUACAAAGUGGGAAGGAUUAUGACUGCUUGACACUAUUGCAAGAAUUGGAAAUGCAGAUCAAAAACAUUCUACUAUGGAGGAAGUAGUCACCCAAUGACAAUUGCUGCCGCUAAUGGAAGUUGCCACAGUUUGAAUGCCAAGUGUCCCUCUAAUCCCCAACUGUGCUGUCUAACAUGGGGCUACUACUGGAAGGUGAAGAACUUUUACUGCAUGAGAAUAGAUGAAAUUCGUUCUUUAGUGGGACUGUAGGACCUUGUCUCCUCCUGCUGCAGAUUCAAUUCUCAGCCACAAGAUGAGAAGUUUGCUCUACUCAAUAUUCCUACCAUGUCAAACAACCUCAUCACAGACUAAAGUAGUGGGCCCUACCUUCCAGGACAGACACAUAUAAAGCUCUGAGCCCUGAUCAACCUCUCUGUGGAUGUCACUUACCUCAGGCAUCUGUUAACAUGAUGGAUACCCGAUUUACACUGAAACUGUUAUUCUGACAUCUGACACUGUGAAUAUCAGCUGGGCAAGAGUCAUAUUUUGCAGGGCAUAUGAUAGUGUGUGACCUAGAGCCUCACCUGAGAUGCUGAGGCAGGAGGAUUAUCAGUUCAAACACUGUGUUUAAGAAAGGAAGGAAGGAAGGAAGGAAGGAAGGGAGGGAGGGAGGGAGGGAGGGAGAAAGAAAGAAAGAAAGAAAGAAAGAAAGAAAGAGAAAAAAGUUGUUUAAAACAACUGGAUAUAGGCACUGAAGAGAUGCCUCAGCAGUUAAGAGUAUUUGUUACAGAUGGAAGCAGAUGCAGAAAUCCACAACUAACCAAUGGGCCAAGUUCCUGGAGUACAAUCGAAGUGAGGGAGGAGUGAUGAUAUGAACAAAGGAGUCAAGAUCAUAAUGGGGAAAGCCACAGAAUCAGCUGACCCAAGCUAGUGAGAGAUCACUGACUCAGGUCUGACAAAUGGGGAACCUGCAUAAGACUGAACUAGACUCCCUUAAUAUAGGUGGCAAUGGUUUGACUGGGACAAUAUAUGAGACCACUGGUAGUGGGUCUAAGAUCUAACACAAAUGGUCAAACUGACUUGGUAGAGCCCAUUAUAUGAAGAGAUACCUUGCCCAGCCUAGACACAGGAUUGUGGGGGUGGAGAGGUGCCUUGGUCCUGCCUCACCGAGAUGAUGAGACGGACUUAGUAGACUUCUUUGGGGAGGCCUUACCCUUUCUGUGGAACAGAUGGGAGGAGCGGGAAGUUGGGGGAGCAGGAGGAGAGGAGGGAUGGGCAACUGGGAUUGGAAUGAAAAAAAAUAAUUUUAAAAGAGAAAAAAACAGAUGAGGAAAGUGGGGGGAAGAAUACUUGUUACUUACACAGAGAACUUAAGUUCAAUUGCCAGCACUCGCAUGGUGGUUCACAAUUAUCUGUAACUCCAAGUACUCAUGUGUUAUAACCUCAUACAUAUAAAAUAAGUCUACAUUUUUUAAAAAUUAGAUUUAAUUCAAGUCUUGGUCAUGAGGUAAAGAACCUGUCCAGCUUCUUCCAUCAUUCCUGUGCUUCAUAUUUCUUCAGAAAAAUAGAACUAGUAUUUCUGAUUAAACCUAGCUCUUCACAUGGGUGGUAUUUAUUGUUAUUUAUUUAGAUAAUUUAUUAGUAAAAACUUAUUAGUAAUUUAUUCAGCUAUUGAAGAACAAUAAAAAGACGUUAAAAUAGAAAAAUGUAUGGAUAGAAGCCAAUAUAAGGUAGACUAUUUAUUAUAAAAACAUGGCAAUGGAUUUGUGCACGGUUUUUGCCCCUCCUCCUAGUGAGUCUGGAUCUCAGCCCCUGACUCUGGGCUUGAUGAUGCAAUUCACUUCCAACAGGACAAUAACAAAUGUAAAGUAAGAAAAGUGUCUCUAAAUCUGCCUUUUCUGACUUCCUUGAGACCAUGACGUAAGAAAGCUUACCUGAAGAUGAGAAACAAUGUGGAAUAAGACAGACCAGAUAGCUAGUGCCUGAAGAAUGAACCCAAGAGAAACUAGCAAAUAAACCAUCCAGUUGAGCCCAGCCCACAUUUUUGAGCCAGAAUUAUGAGCAAGCAUAGUGAUUGUUUAAAACAAGUGUUAAAGUGGUUUAUUCUGCACAAAAGAUAAGUGAUACAUAAAAUCAGGUGAUUUCAUAAGGACUUCAGGCUUCACAAUAAAUCCUCCUUCUCUUGGUACCAUCUCUUAAGUCACAGGUGUGCCUCACAGUCCUGCUUGGGGUUGUUAGUAAGGGUGAAUGGAAGGCUGGACUAAUCAAUCCCAUUCCUCUCACAUGUCAGUGAUCCAAGUGGUUGGUCUGUGGACCCCAGUUUCAGUGCUCUCCAAGGUUAGGCCAGCUUUGCUCAAGUCAAGGCCUGGCUCUUCUCCUAUCCCUCUGAUCCAGCAAGCGUCCCUGGUAUCCUUAAAGCAAAUUCAGUUCACCCUUGUGCUAGCUGGAGUUGGUAUCUGUCACUUGAACCCCACCCCCAGCUCUUGGUUAGCAAAAGUCACCUUCAAAGAGCUUUGAACCCUCUAGAUGAUGAGAAAAGAAGUCAGUAAGUGGCUGACCUUCCCAUGUGGAUCGCACCCUGAUGGUCUUGCAGAGGAGGAAGGGAGGAGGAAGCUUCACUGUCAUGGGAUGUCCCGUGUAGGAGUCCUCCCAGCUCAACUUACCACUCAAUUUUCCCCUUGAUCCACAGACUCAGCAAAUAGAGAGAGUUCUGCCAACACAGUAGACUUUGAAUUAUUCCUUGUUAGCUUGAAUUCUAAUGCCAUGUGUCAUCUGCUAGGAAAAAAAAAAAAACAGUAAGCAGGUCCCAUUCUUCACUGCUGGCCUAAAGCUAUCCAGAUGCUUGAAAGAAUGAGGAAGUGAAAGUCACUUUCCCCGAAUAUCCCAGAGCACAAAGGAGGGUGAAUGGUUGUAGUUUUUCUUGUGAUAUCUUGUGUAUGUGUACAUAUAAAUUUAAUGAGAGUAUAUGCAUGUGUGGGGGUGGGUGUCAGUGUGUGUGGAUGUGCGAGCACUCUCAAAAGUGUGUGUGAUAUAUAUUUGUGAGUGUAUUUAGACGCAGAUGUGCUUAUGCCAUGGUACAUGUGUGGAGAUCAGAGGACAGCUCUGUGGAGUUGAUUUUCUCCUUCCACCCAUACAUGAGCUCCAGGCAUGGGAUUUGGGUCAUCAGGCUUGUGAAAUGAGUGCUUUUACCCGCUGAGCCGUCUCUCUGGCCCCAGGAACUGUCUUUUUGGUGUUUGCUGCUCAUCUGCUAGGUUCACAAGCUUCCAGAGAUUCUCCUGCCUCCAUCUCACACCUCAUCAUAGGAAUUCUGGGAUUAUAGAGCUGUGCUACCAUGCUAGGGUUUCCAUGCAUUCUUGGGCUUCAAGCUCAGAUCUUCACAUGUGUGUGACAAGUACCUCACAUGGAACCCUUUCCCAAGCUCUUCCUGGUGACUCUUAAGACUUAAUUUCUCUGUUUCCUUUUAAGUUUGAUCACUUUCAGACACAGGUGACAGAAGGAAACACAUUUGUCAGAUUGGAUAUGCUUCUGUUGGGAAAAAACCAGCUCAGAGCAGACCUCAGAAGAAGCUCCAUUAGGGCCAUAAACUGCAAGGAAAGAAGAGCAGAGCAAGAAGAAGACAAUGAACCAAAUGCUCUUAACUACACAAAACUAGGUCCAUUGAAUCGUACAUAACUACCCACUAUCUCUGUUGUAGUUCCAUAGUCCAGAUACAGCCAUCUUUCCAACCCCCAAACUGGUUUGAAACAACAACCAUUACACUGGCUUGUGACUCUAUGAACCAACAAUUUGGGCUGGGCACAGUUGAGUGGUUCAUCUGUUGGUUUCUCUUGAUGUCCUUCUUCAGGUGUAAGUUAUUAGUCUGUCAUUAUUCUUUUAGUCACUUUCACAUGCGAGAUGCAAACAAAAGAAACCUGUUUGUUCUCACUUUACAAAUGGGAAAACAGGACUGGAGGGAUUAAGGGUGAGAACAAAGGUCACAGGAAUCUUGAUUCAAGCCUACCAGUCUUGUUGCCAAGCUCCUGCUUUUUCUACUCUCCAGUGUUUCCAAGAAGAAAACAGUAAGAGCUGAGUUGGGGUGAGGGUGGAUAGUGUGCCUAGCUACCAGGAUCUCCCAAAGAGAAAGUGUAUGUUAGAGAUAUAUCUGUAAGGAAUACUUCCCAAAGUGUGUAUCAAAAAAUCACACACACACACACACACACACACACACACACACACACACACACACACACACACACACACACACGGAUGUGGGGAGGUUCCUAUCAGUGGGAAAAUUUGAAGUUUCCUUUCCCAAAUGAUACCUCAGAAAUUUUAGUGUGUUUACAGAAUACCAUGAAUGUCUCAGGGAAGGAUAUAGUAUGCCAUUAGUCAGAUGAUGCCCUAGGCUACUGUAACAAAGUGUCCCUAAAGUACAUAAGUAAAGUGCAGGGUGGAGUUCAUUUCUCUUUCGUGCAUCCAAACCAGAGCAGUGAUCCAAGGCUAGCAACCUCAGUUCAUUUCAUCCAAGAUGGUGCCUAGCUCUUAGGUUUCUCAAGCAGGGCAAGGUGGGCUAGACAACACUAAACAAUCUGGUGCCUACACUACUCUGUGCUUCAUUCCACUGGCCUGAAUUUGACCGUAUGGACUACUAUAGUUCAGAACUAUAACCUACAGUAUUACUGAAAGGUCAUUGUGUUAAAGGUUUGUCACUCAGAGUGGUGCUAUUAGGAACCUUUAAGAAAUGGAGUGUAGUAGAUGCUGGGUCAUUGAGACCAUUCCCUGGAAGGGUUUUGAAGAUCCAGUGUAUCCUUUUUAUCCCCAGCCAUGAAGUGCAUAUAUUUGUUUGCUUUGUUAUUGCCUUCUUACAAGUCCACCAGUGGCUUAAAAGCAAUGUGUCUGAUCAUGGACUGAAACUCCUAAAGCUGUGAGCCAAAAUAAACCUUUCUUCUUCAUAAUUGGAUCACCUUAGGUAUUUGUUAUAGUCGUAGAAAGCAGAUCAGCUCCUAGAUACAACCAGAUACUAGAGAGACUGGGAAAGGCAAUCUUCAGUUAGAUGUCUAAGUGUCUGGCUGAACCCUUGAAUCAAGACUCCUGUGUUAUAUUAUUAAGAUUCAUAAAGGGUAUGCAAACACCAAGUACCACCAGUACCACUCAAAUGUGUUUAUCCAC
rnacentral:lncRNA from 1 species